GUGUGUAUAUGUGUAUAGAAUCUCACCUUCUUCAUGAAAUAGGGCAUACCAAGACAACGGGCCUCCAACAACUGUGGGGUGUUUGUGCUCAUGUAUGCCCUCUACUUUGUGAUGGAGUCAGCUUUUGAUUUCAGUGAGUUGGACAUGGAGCAUUUAAGGAGAUGGUGGUGCAUGCUACUCAUUGACAACUUCCCCGUGACAUUCGAAGGCAGAAGAUCAACCAAAAGACGACUGGAGAGAUAAGACUGCGAAGACAGUCCCAGGGUAAGUAAUCAUGAUGACCCACCCAAAAGAAGUAAAGUCGUAAAGGAAAUGGCAUUCUGCAGCGACUUUGGAUGGGUAUGUAGACUGUAAUUUACUACUUAAAAUCUCCAUGGAUGUGCUCCACAGCCAUACAGUUUGUUGCUUCCACCUCUUAUUCAAGGGGGCAAUGUGUCAUGAUGCAAGUACAACUGUUUUACCAUGCAGUAGUAAUUCCUUUUAUCUGGUGUCUUCCAGAAAAAGGACCCACUGGCAAAGACGGCUGCAGAAAUUCUUGUCAGCUCUGAAGAGGAGGAUGGAGUACGUGAUAUGCUAUCUGUUAUACCUUACAUGAAAUUCACAGCACUUCCUUCUGUUCUUCUGCAGCGACUGGUAGAAAAUGGCUGAAAAUAUUUUGUACCACUGAUUUAGAUAGUGUUGCAUGUGCAAGUUUUUGUGCGUCAUAAUUACACAUUCAAAGCAUCUUGUUGCAAAUCAGCAGCAGCACUAUAAGAAUAGUAAAUGUACAGUGUAGUAGCAAUGCAUAAACUAUGUAUCUUCUUCCUGUAGGACAGCGUUUC